ACCUGUCUGGCUCAGUCAGUAGAGCAUAUGACUCUUGAUCUUGGGGUUGUGAGUUCAAGCCCCACAUUGGGUG
rnacentral:tRNA from 1 species